GGCUCGGUGGUGGAUGGCCCACAUCUGUUUCUCAUAUCGAUCUCGCAUCCACUGUAAGCAGAAACAGCCUGUUCGAAUCAGGCCCGAGUCA